CACCGCGGUUAUACGAGAGGCUCGGAUUGAAAUUCUACGGCGUAAAGCGUGAUUAGAGAAAACAUUUAACUAAGGCCAAACACCACCCAAGCUGUUAUACGCUAACGGAAGCAUGAAGCCCUACAACGAAAGUAGCCUUAAAAUUACUUGAGCUCACGACUAUUAAGAAA
rnacentral:rRNA from 1 species